rnacentral:rRNA from 1 species
GAGUUUGAUCGUGGCUCAGGACGAACGCUGGCGGCGUGCCCAAUACAUGCAAGUCGAGCGGAUGGAAGGAAGCUUGCUUCCUAAAGUCAGCGGCGGACGGGUGAGUAACACGUGGGCAACCUGCCCCUAAGAUCGGGAUAACUUCGGGAAACCGGAGCUAAUACCGGAUAUGAUUAUGUCUCACAUGAGACAUAAUGGAAAGACGGUUUCGGCUGUCACUUUAGGGAUGGGCCCGCGGCGCAUUAGCUAGUUGGUGAGGUAACGGCUCACCAAGGCGACGAUGCGUAGCCGACCUGAGAGGGUGAUCGGCCACACUGGGACUGAGACACGGCCCAGACUCCUACGGGAGGCAGCAGUAGGGAAUCUUCCGCAAUGGACGAAAGUCUGACGGAGCAACGCCGCGUGAGUGAAGAAGGUUUUCGGAUCGUAAAACUCUGUUGUUAGGGAAGAACAAGUACCAUAGUAACUGAUGGUACCUUGACGGUACCUAACCAGAAAGCC